AUUGAACGCUGGCGGAAUGCUUUACACAUGCAAGUCGAACGGUAGCAGGUUAAGCUGACGAGUGGCGAACGGGUGAGUAAUAUAUCGGAACGUGCCCAGUCGUGGGGGAUAACGUAGCGAAAGCUACGCUAAUACCGCAUACGAUCUACGGAUGAAAGCGGGGGAUCGCAAGACCUCGCGCGAUUGGAGCGGCCGAUAUCAGAUUAGGUUGUUGGUGAGGUAAAAGCUCACCAAGCCUGCGAUCUGUAGCUGGUCUGAGAGGACGACCAGCCACACUGGAACUGAGACACGGUCCAGACUCCUACGGGAGGCAGCAGUGGGGAAUUUUGGACAAUGGACGCAAGUCUGAUCCAGCAAUGCCGCGUGCAGGACGAAGGCCUUCGGGUUGUAAACUGCUUUUGUACGGAACGAAACGGUGAGCUCUAAUACAGUUUGCUAAUGACGGUACCGUAAGAAUAAGCACCGGCUAACUACGUGCCAGCCGCCGCCGUAA
rnacentral:rRNA from 1 species